UGAAAGAAAGAGAAGUCUAAGCACUGAAUUCAUGGAGCACUUCAACAUACAGAAGUUGGAGAGACGAAGAGCAGAGGAGGCUAAGAAGGAGCUGUCAGAAAGGCAGGAAAAUUUCUUUAGGUUCAGGUCCUGGAAAUGGAGCUGCCAUUCUGAAGAAUACAAACACCUGUAAGGUUCCUGAUGUAUUUUGACAAGCUGCGGGCUGGAAGGGUCGUCCUGUUUGCACGUCAUCGUGGGUAGAAGGGCCUGUUUCAUGGCCGUCACCAACCCUGAGGUUUCCUUUCCCUUUUUAGUGCAUCGCUGAAAGCCAAAGUGACACUCUGAAACAUCUGCCACUUAAACAAGAGGAGAUUUAUUGCUUUUAAUGGAAAUGAUAACUUGUUCCAGCAGGAGAAAGUAACCCUACAUGUAAACAGAGCAGACAUGAAUAAUUCCACUUUGCAGAUGAAGAAAUAGACUUAGGAAUUGAGACCCAUCCAAGGUGAAAAGCCCUGGACCAGAGCCAGAAUGGGAACCUGGAUUUUUGGUAAUGACUUCAAUACUUUCAUUAUCGUUAUUAGGCUUCUAUUAUGCUUUUGUAACUACUUUUUCUACAAUUUAAAGUAGAUAACCUUGUGUAGGCCUUCAUUACAAAACAUUUAUUGAGUACCUUUGCAAACUGCUCAGCAGCUAGUUGGGAGAAAAGUAAAUAAACAAAUAGUUACAAUCA